AGCAGCCGCGGUAAUUCCAGCUCCAAUAGCGUAUAUUAAAGUUGUUGCAGUUAAAAAGCUCGUAGUUGAAUUUCGGGAUCAAUACGUUGGUCGUGCUUUCGGGUACGUACUGGCGUCAUUGGUUUCUCUCUUCUGACGAACCAUGAUGUCAUUAAUUUGGUGUUAUGGGGAGUUAGGACUGUUACUUUGAAAAAAUUAGAGUGUUUAAAGCAGGCUCACGCUUGAAUACAUUAGCAUGGAAUAAUGAAAUAGGACGUUUGAUUCUAUUUUGUUGGUUUCUAGGAUUGACGUAAUGAUUAAUAGGGAUAGUUGGGGGGCAUUAGUAUUCAAUUGUCAGAGGUGAAAUUCUUGGAUUUAUUGAAAGACUAACUACUGCGAAAGCAUUUGCCAAGGAUGUUUUCAUUAAUCAAGAACGAAAUGUUAGGGGAUCGAAGACGAUCAGAUACCGUCGUAGUCUUAACCAUAAACUAUGCCGACUAGGGAUCGGAUGAUGUUAAUUUUUUAAUGACUCAUUCGGCGC
rnacentral:rRNA from 1 species